GAUGAACGCUGGCGGCGUGCCUAAUACAUGCAAGUCGAGCGAACAGAUGAGGAGCUUGCUCCUCUGACGUUAGCGGCGGACGGGUGAGUAACACGUGGAUAACCUACCUAUAAGACUGGGAUAACUACGGGAAACCGGAUCUUAUACCGGAUAAUAUAUUGAACCGCAUGGUGCAAUAGUGAAAUACGGUUUUGCUGUCACUAAUAGAUGAAUCCGCGCCGCAUUAGUUGGUGGGUAAGGUAACGGCUUACCAAGGCAAGGAUGCGUAGCCGACCUGAGAGCGAGGUAGCCUAGACGGGAUGGGAGACUGGUUCGAGACUCCUGCGGUAGGAAACAGUAGGGAAUCUUACGCAAUGGGGGAGAGGCUGACGGAGCAACGCGGGGGGAGUGAUGAAGCUGCUCUGAUCGGAAAGCUCUGUUAUUAGGGAAGAACAAAUGUGUAAGUAACUAUGCAGGUAUUGACGGUACCUAGUCAGAAAGCCCCGGCUAACUACGUG
rnacentral:rRNA from 1 species